GUCUAAUUUGUCGGGCUGAGACAAA
rfam:Soil-borne wheat mosaic virus strain NY movement protein gene, complete cds.